UAAAAACAAAGCAAUUCUUAGAAUAUUUUAUCUAAUUACUUGGAAAAAAACAGUUUGUAAACCCAAUAAACUUAAUAGUUUGUUAUCCCAACUCACUUCAUUUCCAACUGAACUCUCUUUAUUUUCUGUUGGUGCUUUUCAAUUAUUACUACCUCCAAGAAGAACACUGUAUGAGCUUAUUUGUGACGAAGGUUCCAAAGUAUCAGAUACCACACAAUUUCUAUGCAAUGGCUUUUUAAGGAACACAGAAGAUCAGUUUAUCAGGACAAAUUUUAGCUUGUUUGUCAUGGCACAAAUGUCUGGAAAAGCUUCAGAUUUUUGUAGAAGCUGUGAACACUGUGAUAGCUCGGGCUGGAGCAAAGUAUUUGCAGAAGGAACUAAACUCAUAGUAGUUCCUGCUGGUAAGUAACAUUUUUCUGCUUUAUUCCAGUGAUAAAAAGUACAUAUAUGGUUGUAGAAAAAUAGAAAUCUACUAUUAUCUACUGUAUCUGACUACACUAUUCUUAGUCAUUUUUCAGGAUAUAUUUCUAGAUAUGACAACAAAAACUACUUUGUAAAUAGUUUUCCCUCCAGAAAACAUUGAAGCUCUGCAUUUAGAAUGCAAAGAGGAACUGGGAGUUAUUUUGAGGAUCAUGUGCAUUGAUUAUUGGGGUAAAUCUUUGCUUCAAGAUACUGCUGUAAAAGUUAUUUUAAGUGUGAGUCCUCAAAAAUUGAGUUUUGAUGAUGACACAUAUGUAUUUUGAAAUAUAACGUAGUGCUACAUUCUCCAAAAUGAAAUCCGUAUUAUUAGUUUUGAUCAUAAUUCACAGCAAAUUACAGUAGAACAUGAAUAAAUCCAUGUUUUAUUUGUUUAACUUCAUAUUGGGUAGAUUGUGAUUAGUCACAAUUUGUGUCACUCUGAGUCUUGAAAUAUUAUCUGGAAGUUUUUCAGUUAGAAUUUGUAGUUUUUCCAAACUACUUCUGUCCAGUGUCCACAAAAAAAGACUAUUCAUGAAUUUACAUCUUCAUUUGACUAUUAUUACAUUUGAUUUCUUUAAUUUGACUUUUUAUAAUGACACCUUCAUUGUCUAAAUAUUAGUAACUACUAGAUUAGUAAUACCUAGAUACAUGGUUACUGCUUUUAUUUCUUUAUGAAAAGGAAAUUUCAAUUAACUCUAAAUUAUAUUCUAGACUAAGGACUAAUCUAUAAAUGACAACUGUUUAAGGGAAUAAAUAUAUUAACUUCUGGAAAAUCCUGGAGAAAGUAAAAUAAGACUUAUCAACCUAAAUGAACAUGACCCAAGUUUCAAGGCAGAGUAUGUUCAGUCCUUAGACUCAUGAUUACACUUAGACUUUGUUUGAGUUUUGUCUCCACUUAAUAUUGACAGAGUCAAUUUUAGGUAAUCAUAUAAAUAGUAACAAAAUAUUGUUUGCUUUUUACAUGUUCACAAGAUAAAUUUCAGAUACUGUGGAUUAUAUGCUAGUUCAUCUAAGCGCUUGAUGCUGGCACAAAGUUUAUAUUUACAGGAACUUUUCUUUGUAUUCUGCAGAGUAAAGCAGGGAGAGAGAUGGGAGGGCAGGUGUUGCAAGCUCCAGUCUCAGAAUCUUUGAAAUUAUUCCUGGUUUAACCGUGAUGUCCAGAGAGGUCAGGCUACUGUAUGCAGCUAAGGAGUCUGUGCUCUUUCUAUUUUGGUAUGGGAGACAUAAGCAAGGAGUGGAGAGUAACUGAAGAGGCUUCAGCGCUAGAAGCACCAAGUUUUAUGUUCAGAAGUUAAACUAAAACGUAGCUCAGCACCUGCAUAAUGAAGCUCGGCAAUUUUCGAAUGUGAAAACUUUUCCCUUGUAAAGUUAGAGAAGUACCUGUGGAGGUGACUUCAGGUUUGAAUUUUCAGUCAGUCUAAAGUCAUGCACUGCAGGACCCACAGGUUUCACUAAGGGUGGGCAGAAUACUGAGGCAGGGAAAGCUCUAGAGGUCACAGGCCUGCAACAUUGGAAUAUGGAAUGGUAAAUGGCAAAAAGAUCUUGUCUGAAACAAUGUGUAAUUGAGGACAGGAGCGAGGCUGUCCUCUGACUGCCUCAGGGGCAUGUAAGGUGUGUGUUCCUGAAUCCCCACACAAGAACUUUGCAGACUCCCUUAUACAUAUACCAUAUUCACAGAGAGCAAAAGAAAAUUGAAGAAAAGAUUUCAAAGCAUAUAUUCUUUGGAAGGAAAGUAGGUUUUGAGUGGACGUUAUUUCUAACAUUUAUUUGGAGAAAUGCAAAGAAGUGGCCAUAAAGUGAGCCCACCUACACUAGCACUAAAUCAUAACAUUUGACUUCACAUGUACAUCAGGACUCAGCCUAUGAGGUCAGGCAGACAGCAGUGUCCUGAAAUGUCUUUGAGAACCAGCCUUGUGAUACUUCUUCACUCAGUUUUCAAGAAAGAGCCAAGCCACCAGGUGAAGAAUAGUUCGGUGUGAGCUGACUGAAGCCAAGUACCAGAACUUUCGAUAAAAGAUGCAAUCUCAUGUGUUACAGUGCCGAUUGGGAGCAUAGCCACUGUUUUGGACAGCAGAGACGCAGUGUUCAUGCACUGCUAUGCACUCUAGACGACUGUAUCUCCUUUUGCUAUCCUGAGAGCAUCAGGCUUCGUGUGAUGGUAGAUUUGGGAACCCCGGUAUACUAUUGCAAAGUAGACUGUAGCUUGGUAGGUAAAGAAACACCAUUUCUCUCCUUAUUUGACCUAGAUUUAAUUACAAUCCACAACCUCCAAUUCUAUGAUUAAUAGCAAAGCUUUUACCCAUAAAUAACAAUGUUUUAUUCAAGCACAAGUCAUAGAAAAUAAAUUGCUAUUAUUAGCAGUCAUGUUGACAACAGUAAUAACCUCUACAUUUUUAUUCCUCUUAAUUAAUUUUCUCAUCUUGUUUCAUUUUUAUUUCAUUGAUGUACUGAGGUUGAAUUGGUUUACAAUAAAAUAAAUGUUUUGUAAAAAAUAAAGCAGCUAAAACUUAGAAGUUUUUCGGCUUACUCAUUGCUGAACUUAUUAUGAAUCAGUUAGGUCAGGAUCAAGUUUCUAUUCUUGUAAGAAUUCCAGACAAUCAUGUCUCUGGAAUGUGAAGAAUCAGGGACAUUAACUAAUAUAUUAGUUUUGAUAUAAUUUGAAUCGCUGUGGUCUUCCUUCAUCUUCGGUGUAGGAAUGGAAUGGGCCAUCAUGGGUGGUUACUGAACGGAUGUAUUUUAAAGAUAGUUGGGGGAAGGCAAAGUUGGCUAUGGUGAGGUGAGGGUGAUAAUGUUUAGAAAGAAGGGGGAUGUGAGAAGGACUUUCUGAAACACUUUCCAGAGAUUGCAAUCAGAAAUGCUGUAAGAGCACUGUGCAAACAUCCUAGCAAUGUUUGCAGACAUCUGGACUUUCUUUAAACAUUCAUGUCAUGUAUGGAAGGUCGUAUUAAAUCAUUUGACAUUGAUGUGGGAUUUAUUACUAUAGUCAAGAAGUUGAUAGACUCAAUAGACAGGCACCUUCCCUUUUCUCCUUUUCAAGUGCACUCUGAACAAGUCAGUGCUUUGAACUCAGAUGUGGAACUCUGGCUUCUCCACUCACUCCCAGAGGACAUGGGAAACUUUGUGCUCAGUGCCUAACAAAAGCUUUAAUGCAGACAUUUCCCCCAAGCCCACCAUUUUUCUUCCUUCUUCUGCUGAAACAAAUCUCCACAAGACUGGGACAUACCUUUGCCUCCUUGAAAAGUUCUUCCCCGAUGUCAUAAGGGUGUAUUGGAAAGAAAAGGACAGCAAUACGAUCCUGGACUCCCAGGAAGGGGAGACGCUGAAGACUAAUGAUACAUACAUGAAGUUUAGCUGGCUUACUGUGCCUGAAGGGUCAAUGGGUAAAGAGCACAGAUGUAUUGUCAAACACGAGAACAACAAAGGAGGAGCAGACCAAGAGAUUUUCUUUCCUUCAAUAAAGAAAGUUGCUCUGAGUACCCAGCCUACAACUUGCUGGCAAGAUAAAAACGAUGUGCUGCAGCUCCAGUUCACGGGCACCUCUGCCUACUAUACUUACCUGCUCCUGCUCCUCAAGAGCGUGCUCUACUUGGCCAUCAUCAGCUUCUUUCUGCUUAGAAGAACAGCUUCCUGUGGCAAUAAGAAGAGAUCCUAAGGAAAUAAACGGUGGACCAGCAAGUCCAUUGAUUUUCAUCCUUACUGUCAUAAAGGUGACUUAUGGGGGUCCAGCUGCCUUCUCUUGCUGGCUUUGACUUCUGUAAAGUCACAUGCACAGCAUUCUGUUAUUGUGCAAACAUUUUUCUCACAUUUGUAAGCAAUUUCAGCAACUUCUCUCUAACUGAGCUCACCUUCCUGAUUCCAUCCUCUCCAGCAGUCCCCUCCCCCAGAAGCCCAAAGUAUCAAAGCUCUGGUACACAUAGGCUGCAGGAUUUACCCACGGCAUUUGUUGCUCUUGAACCAGUCAACUCUCUGAAAGCCUCCGCUCUAGACAACCUGAAGAGCCUUCUUUAUUGUUGGAUUCUGUGCCUUGUAUUUCAUAUUAGAGACAAUAAAUAUUUUUUAAAAAUCAGAA